rnacentral:rRNA from 1 species
AGCGCAGACGGUUAUUUAAGCAAGAUGUGAAAGCCCCGGGCUCAACCUGGGAACUGCGUUUUGAACUGGGUAACUAGAGUGUGUCAGAGGGGGGUAGGAAUUCCACGUGUAGCAGUGAAAUGCGUAGAGAUGUGGAGGAAUACCGAUGGCGAAGGCAGCCCCCUGGGAUAACACUGACGUUCAUGCUCGAAAGCGUGGGUAGCAAACA